GCCUUCCUAGUUCAGUUGGUUAGAACGUCUGUCUCAUAAUUGUCCGCAAUGUGAGCCAUCAGGAGGUCGUGAGUUCGAUCCUCACGGAGGGCA
rfam:Lodderomyces elongisporus NRRL YB-4239 supercont1.9 genomic scaffold, whole genome shotgun sequence.